ACUCCCAGAACUGUCAUUGUGCUAAUAUGGCUGUGAUGGCUGUUAUUCAUCUCUCAUUCUAUUUUUGUAUGAUUUUUGUACAACGGCCGUGUAUAUGUACACAACGUGAGAAUUUAUAAUGUUUACUUUUUAGUUCUUUGCGAGUUGAUAAUACUAUUGAAAUUAUGAAUUUACUGGUAGAAAUUACUGUUUAAUGGUUUUUAAUGAGGUCACCCAGUCUGAGAGAAAGGAAAUAGGGUCGUAAUGGCACCAUACAAAAUGAAAAGCACCAAGUCUCAGCAAUGCUUAACAGGCAUCGAUGAUCAAUGGUUUGUAGGAGUGAGGCACAGUCAUACAAGCAAGCAGAAAUCCUCCAUCAUGCUAGUUUUAACUUCAGAUAGCGUUGUUUGAGUACAAUUAUUGCUGGGCCAAGAUUUAACCUGCAGUACAUACUAAGUCUUAUAGGAAGAUCUAAAGAGAUAGAGGCAAAUUAUUAAACAAGGGAGAAAUAAAAACUAUUAUUCACAGUGAACACUAUUGUAAUGAACAUUCAACAAGGCUGGAAAUCCCAGGUUGAUUGCAGAGACUUUAACUUUGUUGAAAAUAAAGGGAAGACGUAAAACUUGUAUUAUAGGAACAAAAGACAGGUGCUUAUUUUAUUUAUUGAUA